GAGACGCCGACUACAAGUCCCGGGAGGCCCCCGCGGCCCGGCCCAGGCCUCGGCCUGCCCGAGGGGCCUCCGGCGGGAGCUGGGCUGCGGGGCGAGGCCCAGGGGGGCGGCAGCGGCUGCGCUCCGGGCUCUGCCCCACGCCCCUCGUCCCUCCUCGCAUUGCCCGGCCCGGCCCGUCCGUGCUGUCUCUGCGCGGUGCUUCUGCUCCGGGGGUUGCCAGGAGGGCUCUGAAAGCCCCUACCAGACAAGAUCCCGGCUCAAGUACUGCCCGAUGCAGUCCCUGGUACCUUAUGUGCCACCGUGCACUAGUCAGAGUGGGUGGAUCUACAAGCACAAGGACACACUCUACUGACCCCCACCGAGGCCAUAAAUCUUCUUGCCUGCCCUGUUCUGCCUGCCCGCCAAGCGUGGCUCUGUUGAAGCCAGCAGACUGGCAUUUUGGGUUCCAUUUAGUCUGUGCUAAUGCAGCCUGGCACAGCAGAGCAAGGGUUAAAGAGUGACCUGCCUCGCUGCUGAAGAAGGAGAACCGCAGCAGCCAGACUGCGUGACACGGCCACGCCAAACCCAGAGGACCUGCAGCACGGAAUUUGCCCUGCACUCACAACGGGGACGAGGCAGCCAGGUCAAAAACCAAAGCCACCUGUGCCAUUCCUCAGCCCGCUGCCCCAUCGGGAAUGUUAUCCAGAGCCCUGAAAUUCCAGGCUCAUGCAGGCUGAAGAGAACAAACAUCCGAGACAGUGUCAGAGCCGAGACAGUGUCAGAGCACAGCAGCAGCCACUGCAACUUUCAUGCCUUCAGGGGACAAAGGACCUGUCCAAACCCGAGCUUGUCAUUGCCGUUUGAUAGGAGCUGAGUAGGAGGACCCUGUGUCCCUUGUCCUUGCGCUGAAGGUGAUGUGGGUCAGAGCACUCACACACACCCCUCGGGGUGGCUGAGAAAAUGGGGAUGUGAAAUUGAGUGACUUGAGCCUGAGCUGGCUCUGGGCAGAGCUGCAGUGCAUUUUAGCCUUUGGCCAGGAGAUGGGGAGUGAGCACUGUUAACCUUUUGGGAGUGGAUCUAAGCAUGCACUCAAGCUGCCUCUCUCAGCUUGCAGAGUUCCGUGAUGGCAUAAACACAGAAACACGUUACAGAGAGGUGAGCAGAGCCAGCAUCAAUCCCCUGGCACGAUCCUUUCACACUCAGAGUAGCUUCUUUUGUGCUUACUCCAUGGAGAUAACUUCAGCUUUGCUUUUGCCAGCCCUCGCUGCAAACUUGUCAGCUUUCAUGCCCAGACUCUUAGGUCAGACUUU